rfam:Rhodotorula toruloides ATCC 204091 scaffold00023, whole genome shotgun sequence.
AUCUUUGUGCUCGGGCACGCGAGGUAGACAGUGAGGUUUAUAACCGAGUCAUCUCCUAUUGCUAGUUGCAAACUAACAUCCACAACGUGGCAAGUCUCUAUGGCUUUGUCCAAUCUCUCGACGUGUGUCUCCUUCACC